UCUUUUCUAGUCUUAGUGUCUGUUGCUCCCUUCACUCUUUUCUUUUUAACAAUUGUGCCAUAUGUAUGUUGUUCUUACGUUUCAAAAAGAAAAAAAUGUUGUUCUUGCAAUAUUGCUUUGAGCUAUGAUAUCUGUUGAGAGAAGCUACUGUGAUUUGUGACAAGAGGUCUUGUGAAAAAGCUAUUGUUUUGCUAAAUGUGCGUAGAGAUAUGCUCAUGUUUUUGUUGCUUUUUAGGUGACCUUUGCCUCACCUUUGUUUGCAAGUCAACUUGGACGUUUUCAAGACGAAGGAAAUAAGGAUUGCCUUUUUGGUUGGAGCUGGUCUUCGGGUAAAGGGGAAGAGUUCCCAUGCACCUUUGCAGACAGACGGACCUGCCAAGAAAUGUGGACUUUCGACGUGUUUAUUAGGUAAUUCAUUAAGAACUCAAAGAGGUUUGUUGGCUGGUUUCGAAGCUUCGGAUUCAACUACAGUAAUCAUUUUAGGUAGUUUAAUCCAAACUGCCCAAAGUUUAUUUAUUGAUCAAACUUUGGUUUAUACAUUACUUUGAAUGUAAUAAUUAUCUUUACUAAGAAGUUGAGCAUUAGCUUAUAAUGUGAAAGAUUUACCUCA